ACGGUCCUAAGGUAGCGAAAUUCCUUGUCGGGUAAGUUCCGACCCGCACGAAUGGAGUAACGACUUGGGCACUGUCUCAACAGGAGACCCGGCGAAAUUGUAGUAUACGUGAAGAUGCGUAUUAACCCGCGACUGGACGGAAAGACCCCGUAGAGCUUUACUGUAACUUGAUAUUGAAUCUCGGCAAUUGAUGCACAGGAUAGGUGGGACGCUUUGAAGUCAUCCUCUCGGGGGUGAUGGAGCGGACGUUGGGAUACCACUCUUCAAUUGCUGCGGUUCUAACCGGACGCCAGGAAUCUGGGUUUGGGACAUUGUCAGGUGGGCAGUUUGACUGGGGCGGUCGCCUCCUAAAAAGUAACGGAGGCGCCCAAAGGUUCCCUCAGGACGGUUGGAAAUCGUCCGACGAGUGCAAAGGCAUAAGGGAGCUUAACUGUGAGACUGACAGGUCGAACAGAUGCGAAAGCAGGGCUUAGUGAUCAGGCGGUAGAGAAUGGAAUUGCCGUCGCUUAACGGAUAAAAGUUACCUCGGGGAUAACAGGCUUAUCUCCCCCAAGAGUUCACAUCGACGGGGAGGUUUGGCACCUCGAUGUCGGCUCGUCACAUCCUGGGGCUGGAGUCGGUCCCAAGGGUUCGGCUGUUCGCCGAUUAAAGUGGCACGCGAGCUGGGUUCAGAACGUCGUGAGACAGUUCGGUCCCUAUCCAUCGUGGGCGUAGGAUAUUUGAGAGGCGUUGUCCUUAGUACGAGAGGACCGGGAUGAACGCACCUAUUGUGCACCUGUUGUCGCGCCAGCGGCAUAGCAGGGUAGCGAAGUGCGGAUGAGAUAAACGCUGAAAGCAUCUAAGUGUGAAACUCACCUCAAGAUAAGAUAUCCCAUCGAAAGAGUAAGACCCCUUGCAGACUACAAGGUUGAUAGGUCGGAGGUGUAAGCGCAGUAAUGCGUGUAGCUGACCGAUACUAAUAGGUCGAGGGCUUGAACU
rnacentral:rRNA from 1 species